UACGGGGGGUGCGAGCGUUGUCCGGAAUCACUGGGCGUAAAGGGCGCGUAGGUGGCCUGAUAAGGGUGUGGUGAAAGUCCGGGGCUCAACCCCGGAUCGGCCGUGCCGACUGUUAGGCUAGAGUACUGUAGGGGCAGGCGGAAUUCCGGGUGUAGCGGUGGAAUGCGUAGAGAUCCGGAGGAAGACCGGUGGCGAAGGCGGCCUGCUGGGCAGUUACUGACACUGAGGAACGAAAGCCAGGGGAGCAAACGGG
rnacentral:rRNA from 1 species